rnacentral:rRNA from 1 species
UACGUAGGGGGCAAGCGUUGUCCGGAUUUAUUGGGCGUAAAGAGCGUGUAGGCGGCCAUGCAGGUCCGCUGUGAAAACUCGAGGCUCAACCUCGAGACGUCGGCGGAAACCAUCUGGCUAGAGUCCGGAAGAGGAGAGUGGAAUUCCUGGUGUAGCGGUGAAAUGCGCAGAUAUCAGGAAGAACACCCGUGGCGAAGGCGGCUCUCUGGGACGGUACUGACGCUGAGACGCGAAAGCGUGGGGAGCGAACAGG